AGCUGAUGCAGCAUGCCGCGUGUAUGAGAAGGCCUUCGGGUUGUAAAGUACUUUCAGCGGGGAGGAAGGCGAUGCGGUUAAUAACCGCGUCGAUUGACGUUACCCGCAGAAGAAGCACCGGCUAACUCCGUGCCAGCAGCCGCGGUAAUACGGAGGGUGCAAGCGUUAAUCGGAAUUACUGGGCGUAAAGCGCACGCAGGCGGUCUGUCAAGUCGGAUGUGAAAUCCCCGGGCUCAACCUGGGAACUGCAUCCGAAACUGGCAGGCUUGAGUCUCGUAGAGGGGGGUAGAAUUCCAGGUGUAGCGGUGAAAUGCGUAGAGAUCUGGAGGAAUACCGGUGGCGAAGGCGGCCCCCUGGACGAAGACUGACGCUCAGGUGCGAAAGCGUGGGGAGCAAACA
rnacentral:rRNA from 1 species